CCAGUGCGAUAAGGGGAUCCCGAGUGCGCAGGCAUAGAGCCUGCGCUUUUCUGAACCGUAGGAAGGUUCAGGAACAAGAGCUGAGCAAGACCGGUGCCAGCCGCCGCGGUAAUACCGGCAGCUCGAGUGAUGGCCGAUCUUAUUGGGCUAAAGCGUCCGUAGCUGGCCUUGCAAGUCCGUCGGGAAAUCCACCCGCUCAACGGGUGGGCGUCCGGCGGAAACUGUGAGGCUUGGGACCGGGAGGCUUGAAGGGUACGUCCGGGGUAGGAGUGAAAUCCCGUAAUCCUGGACGGACCGCCGAUGGGGAAACCACUUCAAGAGAACGGAUCCGACAGUGAGGGACAAAAGCUAGGGUCUCGAACCGGAUUAGAUACCCGGGUAGUCCUAGCUGUAAACGAUGCCUGUUAGGUGUGACUCCCACUACGAGUGGGUGUUGUGCCGUAGGGAAGCCGCUAAACAGGCCGCCUGGGAAGUACGUCUGCAAGGAUGAAACUUAAAGGAAUUGGCGGGGGAGCACUACAACCGGAGGAGCCUGCGGUUUAAUUGGACUCAACGCCGGACAUCUCACCAGCAUCGACUGUGGUAAUGACGGUCAGGUUGAUGACCUUGCCCGAGCCACAGAGAGGAGGUGCAUGGCCGCCGUCAGCUCGUACCGUGAGGCGUCCUGUUAAGUCAGGCAACGAGCGAGACCCGCAUCCUUACUUGCCAGCAGCACCGCGAGGUGGCUGGGGACAGUAGGGAGACCGCCGUGGCUAACACGGAGGAAGGAACGGGCAACGGUAGGUCAGUAUGCCCCGAAUAUGCUGGGCAACACGCGGGCUAUAAUGGUCGAGACAAUGGGUUCCAACGCCGAGAGGCGACGGUAAUCUCAGAAACUCGAUCGUAGUUCGGAUUGUGGACUGAAACUCGUCCACAUGAAGCUGGAUUCGGUAGUAAUCGCGUGUCAGAAGCGCGCGGUGAAUACGUCCCUGCUCCUUGCACACACCGCCCGUCAAAGCACCCGAGUGAGGUCCGGAUGAGGCUCCCGAGAGGGAGUCGA
rnacentral:rRNA from 1 species